CUUACAUGGCAUAUGGGAAAUAACUCAUUUGAAGUCAGGUUGUUCUGAUGUCUGCUAACCGGAUCCUGGCAAAGCAGCUACAGUCACUGUGCAGACAACUUGCUGAACAUUGUCUUCCAGAAUGUUCACCUGAUAAUCUGAUUGAGUAGUAUGGUAGGAAAACUUGACAAAGAAGAAUUCCAUGUUACCAUGGAAAUUGCAACUUGGCAC
rnacentral:lncRNA from 1 species